CUGCAAGCUUGUAUUUGAGAACAUUCAAGAAUGUUCUGCCCCCAUAAAACUCACAAUGCUUGACGAUAUCAUUCCUUGAAAGGAAAAUGAACAAUGGCAUCUGUUUCUGAAGGAAGGUCUGCUCACCUCUUAUCACCUUGAGUCGCUCCUGAGAUGUACUGUGUACUGUGCUUUUACCUUCUUCCUAAUGCUUCAUCUUUGCUGUGGGCUGCCCUGGGCUCUCUGGGAGAGGAACGGGAACGGAGGGUUAUAACUCGUCGUCCUCUUCUUCUGCUUCUUCUUCUUCUUUGUAUCAUUUGAUCCACCACAAAGAUUCUCUCUUUCUUCCACAGUAGUGAAAGACGAGUAAUAUUUUGGCAUCCUCAAAAAUGCCCCCUGCUCAUGUGAAAGAAGACAACAGCUAAAUUUCAGAUGUCCUGCCAAUCUACAGAUGUCCUUCCA